AGUGAACGCUGGCGGUAGGCCUAACACAUGCAAGUCGAACGGCAGCACAGUAAGAGCUUGCUCUUACGGGUGGCGAGUGGCGGACGGGUGAGGAAUACAUCGGAAUCUACUUUUUCGUGGGGGAUAACGUAGGGAAACUUACGCUAAUACCGCAUACGACCUACGGGUGAAAGCAGGGGAUCUUCGGACCUUGCGCGAUUGAAUGAGCCGAUGUCGGAUUAGCUAGUUGGCGGGGUAAAGACCCACCAAGGCGAGGAUCCGUAGCUGGUCUGAGAGGAUGAUCAGCCACACUGGAAGUGAGACACGGUCCAGACUCCUACGGGAGGCAGCAGUGGGGAAUAUUGGACAAUGGGCGCAAGCCUGAUCCAGCCAUACCGCGUGGGUGAAGAAGGCCUUCGGGUUGUAAAGCCCUUUUGUUGGGAAAGAAAAGCAGCAGGUUAAUACCCCGCUGUUCUGACGGUACCCAAAGAAUAAGCACCAGCUAACUUCGUG
rnacentral:rRNA from 1 species